AACCUGCCUCAUACAGGGGGAUAACAGUUGGAAACGACUGCUAAUACCGCAUAAGCGCACAGUACCGCAUGGUACGGUGUGAAAAACUCCGGUGGUAUGAGAUGGACCCGCGUCUGAUUAGCUAGUUGGCGGGGUAACGGCCCACCAAAGCGACGAUCAGUAGCCGACCUGAGAGGGUGACCGGCCACAUUGGGACUGAGACACGGCCCAAACUCCUACGGAAGGCAGCAG
rnacentral:rRNA from 1 species